rnacentral:rRNA from 1 species
UACGUAGGGUGCAAGCGUUGUCCGGAAUUAUUGGGCGUAAAGAGCUCGUAGGCGGUUUGUCGCGUCUGCUGUGAAAAUCCAGGGCUUAACCCUGGACCUGCAGUGGGGUACGGGCAGACUAGAGUGCGGUAGGGGAGAUCGGAAUUCCUGGUGUAGCGGUGAAAUGCGCAGAUAUCAGGAGGAACACCGGUGGCGAAGGCGGAUCUCUGGGCCGUAACUGACGCUGGAGGAGCGAAAGCAUGGGGAGCGAACAGGA